ACACUCCUGCGGGAGGCAGCAGUGGGGAAUAUUGCACAAUGGGCGCAAGCCUGAUGCAGCCAUGCCGCGUGUGUGAAGAAGGCCUUCGGGUUGUAAAGCACUUUCAGCGGGGAGGAAGGCGAUACGGUUAAUAACCGUGUUGAUUGACGUUACCCGCAGAAGAAGCACCGGCUAACUCCGUGCCAGCAGCCGCGGUAAUACGGAGGGUGCAAGCGUUAAUCGGAAUUACUGGGCGUAAAGCGCACGCAGGCGGUCUGUCAAGUCGGAUGUGAAAUCCCCGGGCUCAACCUGGGAACUGCAUUCGAAACUGGCAGGCUUGAGUCUUGUAGAGGGGGGUAGAAUUCCAGGUGUAGCGGUGAAAUGCGUAGAGAUCUGGAGGAAUACCGGUGGCGAAGGCGGCCCCCUGGACAAAGACUGACGCUCAGGUGCGAAAGCGUGGGGAGCAAACAGGAUUAGAUACCCGAGUAGUCCCAUGAU
rnacentral:rRNA from 1 species